CCGUGAAAUUGGGGUAAACCCUCUAAUUUGGCAUUAAAAUUAGAAAGAUCAUAUCAUAGGGGACAUGUGUACUAAGUUUGAAGUCGAUUGGACUUAAACUUCAUCAAAAACUACCUUGACCAAAAACUUUAACCUGAAGCGGGACAGACGGACGGACGAACGGACAGACGGACGGACGAACGAACGGACAGACGGACGGACGGACGCACAGACCAGAAAACAUAAUGCCCCUCUACUAUCGUAGGUGGGGCAUAAAAAUGUCAAGACAAAUA
rnacentral:lncRNA from 1 species